rnacentral:rRNA from 1 species
GAUGAACGCUGGCGGCGUGCCUAAUACAUGCAAGUCGAGCGAACAGACGAGGAGCUUGCUCCUCUGACGUUAGCGGCGGACGGGUGAGUAACACGUGGAUAACCUACCUAUAAGACUGGGAUAACUUCGGGAAACCGGAGCUAAUACCGGAUAAUAUAUUGAACCGCAUGGUUCAAUAGUGAAAGACGGUUUUGCUGUCACUUAUAGAUGGAUCCGCGCCGCAUUAGCUAGUUGGUAAGGUAACGGCUUACCAAGGCAACGAUGCGUAGCCGACCUGAGAGGGUGGUCGGCCACACUGGAACUGAGACACGCUCCAGACUCCUGCGGGAGGCAGCAGUAGGGAAUCUUCCGCAGUAGGCGGAAGCAUGACGGAGCAACGCCGCGUGAGUGAUGGAGGUCUUCGGAUCGUAAAACUCUGUUAUUAGGGAAGAACAGAUGUGUAAGUAACUAUACACGUAUUGACGGUACCUAAUCAGAAAGCCACGGCUAACUACGUG